rnacentral:piRNA from 1 species
UGUGUGGAGAUAGCAGUGCAGUGUACAA